UCGAGACGCUCGACUUAAUCCAAUGUGAUGAAGUGGGGAGGCCGUCCAGUCGUACGGACCCCAACGCGGGGCGGGUCGACAGACAGCGUAACUCAACCGACGGCUGCCCCGACCCGUCACCGGGACUCCGGUGUGACAGGCGUUCAUGUCCACGGACCCCUGGGAGCAGCCGCCAAGGAAAACAAAGAAAAUCAAUCGCUGCAUUUCGCCACACUGCUGCGUCUUCAUUCCUCCCGAGGCCUUCGCCACGCUGCCCUCUGACCCCUGGCAUCAGUCAUAGCGCUAGCCGAGUGUGACUGAGCCUCUGGUGGGUGGUAGCUGCCCUGAAGAUGGGCUGACAUCCUUCAUGUCCUGCCUCCCGCAUUAGCAUUCCUCAGCAUUCCUGGACUGGACUUGACAUGGUGUCAUGCUUCUGAGCACAAGUUCAACCAUGUCCAAGGUGCUUAUUUUCACCCACAAGAUCAUUUUCCUUCAUUACAAAAAUACACAGAGGUUGCAUUCCUAAAUAAGAGGUGGAAUAUCACACCACCCAGUGCCACAAGAGCAAAGACAAAUGCUUCACAGUAUGUAUUAACAGAAGUAAAAUAUAUUUUAAGUAUAUGUUAAGGAUUUAAAGGCUGUGUUUGGUUUUUGAAAGUGAUACAGAGGGCUUGUUGUUGAAAUAUGACUCAUGUCUGUGGAUAUGGAAAAAUGACAAUAGAGCAAAGUUCUCACUCUGCAGUGACGUUUACAACCGGUCAUAGGGCAGAGAUGAUGGGAAGCGUGAGCAAAGCAGAGGCGCAAAAGUGCCGCAGGUAAACAGAUCGGCGCUCCGGGGGGGAGCGGGCCGAGCCGACAGGGAAACGCACACGGCCCGCGACGGGGAGCGCGAGGCGGCCGCAUGAGUGCCGGCAUUCAGGAGAGCGGACGCCGCACAAGGCUCCACUGUGAGGAGACGGGCCGAGGGAGCGCGGCAGCUGUCUGCCGAGGCAGGACGCGAUGCGGCCGCCCCCAGCUGUCAGAGACGGGAGAAAUGGCCGAUUCACGUACAGGACAUUGGGCCAGUGUUCAGGGGCUGAUGGGACAUCAAAACAUGCAGCACGUAUAGAAGAUGUGUGUUCCUGAUGACAUACAUUAAGGAAACGACACAGAAGCACAUUUAUGAGCAAAUGGAUGUAUACUAUAUAAAAUACAUCCAGAUAUAGAAACUGAAUCAUAAUCUAUAUGUUGAGCUGAAAGCAAUAAAUAAAGCAAUAAAAAAAAGGAUGAAAAUGUA
rnacentral:lncRNA from 1 species